rnacentral:rRNA from 1 species
UACGGAGGGAGCUAGCGUUGUUCGGAAUUACUGGGCGUAAAGCGCACGUAGGCGGCUUUGUAAGUUAGAGGUGAAAGCCCGGGGGCUCAACCCCGGAAUUGCCUUUAAGACUGCAUCGCUUGAAUCCGGGAGAGGUGAGUGGAAUUCCGAGUGUAGAGGUGAAAUUCGUAGAUAUUGGGAAGAACACCGGUGGCGAAGGCGGCUCUCUGGACCGAUACUGACGCUGAGGCGCGAAAGCGUGGGGAGCAAACAGG